rnacentral:rRNA from 1 species
GACGAACGCUGGCGGCGUGCCUAAUACAUGCAAGUCGAACGCAGUGGGGACGGUUGAGUAACACGUGGGUAACCUCCCAUCAGAGGGGAUAACACUUGGAAACAGGUGCUAAACCGAUACUGAUGGAUGGACCCGCGGUUCAUUGGCUAGUUGGUGGGGUAACGGCUCACCAAGGCCACGAUGCAUAGCUGACCUGAGAGGGGGAUCGGCCACACUGGGACUGAGACAAGGACCAGACUCCUACGGGAGGCAGCAGUAGGGAAUCUUCGACAAUGGACGAAAGUCUGACGGAGCAACGCCGCGUGAGUGAAGAAGGUUUUCGGAUCGUAAAACUCUGUUGUUAGAGAAGCGUUAUCUAACCAGAAAGCCACGGCUAACUACGUGCCAGCAGCCGCGGUAAUUC